AAUACUUUGUAUUUACAAGGUGCUGUGAUUUGGCAAUUACAUUAGAAUUCAAAGGCCAUUAAGACAAACAAAACUCCGAUCUUGGACCGUGAGAGAAAACGUAAACUGAAAAUAGCUAGCUACCAUGUGUAUGUACAUGCUGAGCAUUUACCAAGCAACCAGCAAAUGUGAUCGGUUUAUCUGCCCCCCUAUCCCCUGGGUAAACAGGGCUUAUAUUGGGUACUGUACUGACCCGGUCAGACCGAUCUCAACAGCGCUAUGACGGUCACCAGCACUGGCAUGAGACUCCUCCAAGACCUUGAAGACAAGACUUAUGUUCUAUCAGCAAAAAUGGUUCAUGGGUACCACAGUGAGGUGGUACGUUGCUACAAGCGGACAUACAAUGUAUGGUAGCUUUAGAUAUAAUAUCCAAUGCCAACAUGCAGUGAAGCGGAACGGUUACAAAGGAGGCGAAAACCUGAGACGAUGUCCACCUGACUUCAGUAAAAGUUGACCGAUCAUGUUCCAUUUCAAUAUUACAUGAAAAUAGUGUACAUCACGAGAAAAAAUGCUCCUAUAAUAAACUUUGAAAA